UACGAAGGGGGCUAGCGUUGCUCGGAAUUACUGGGCGUAAAGCGUACGCAGACGGCUUGAAAGGUCGGACGUGAAAGCCCCGGGCUCAACCCGGGAAAUGCGUCCGAAACCAUUUGGCUCGAGUAUGAGAGAGGAAAGCGGAAUUCCUGGUGUAGAGGUGAAAUUCGUAGAUAUCAGGAGGAACAUCUGCGGCGAAGGCGCUUUCUGGCUCAUUACUGACGUUCAGGUACGAAAGCGUGGGUAGCAAAGCAGG
rnacentral:rRNA from 1 species